AGGGUUAAAAAUCUUGUGAGAAUCUUUGGGCUUAAUUGGUUUUGCUUCUGAUUUGAAAGAAGUCUUUUGUUGUUGUGUGUGAGCUUGUUGAAGCUCAUAGUUUAUAUUUUGUGGACAAAAGGAUAUCCUUAUCCUACAAAAGGGAUGGUUAGCAAAUCGGAACGGCAGCAAACCUACGGCAAGAAAAACAGAAAUCUAGCAGCAACAACAGGAGGAUCUGGCUCGUCUCCAACGACUGACGCUCCAACCAGCGUCCAACGACUUCACGGAUGGUCGACGCGUGGAGGCAAGCAAUCCAACGGCUCCGGCUCCGGCUCCGGCUCCGGCUCCGGCUCGUGAACGACUUCGACGACUGGAGACGGUGGUUUUUGAAUUCGACUCGUCCUCCCUCUUUCUCUCUUCACACCACAGUACCGCCCCCCCUCUCAACUACUCUGGACUCAGGUGGUUAACGGAGGAGAAGCAGUCCAAGCCGUUGUUCUACCGUCGUUUAGCGAGUGAGACAAGGAUCCGGUUCUGCUCGUCUGAAGCUGUCGUUCAAGGCUUAAGCAGAUUUUCGAACUCCCGUGGAAACCCUACCGUCGUUCAGCGAGGGAUUGAAAUCAAACAUUGAGACUCUGUUUCUCUCUCUCUCUGUUCGGCAGGAUCAUUGAGCAGUGUUUAAGAUCGCAGAGCUUUCAGAGGGGUUGUAGUCGGGUAGCUUCAGGAUCGCAGAGCUGCAUAUCAAGGUUUCUCUCAUGGGAUUGAGUAAAACUGAAAUUAACUUGAGGAGGUUGCUUGCUGCGGCACCUCAUCAACAGAAUCAAGCAAAACUCAUACAUGUGACAGUACCAUGUCUGAAAGGAAGCUUCACUGAAGCUUGGUCUCCAAUCGAAUGACCCUGAGAUUUGGGUGGACUGAAGGACCCUCUUAGGCGAUCAGAACCCUGGGGUUUCUCCCCUCAAACCAUCCUCUGUAUGAACAAAUCAACCGAUUGCAGGUUCUGGUUUUCCCUAAUACCGCCAGGUCUGAAUAGCAGGGGUUACUGUACCUCUUUGCUUGCUGUUUGGGGUCUUCUCCUAUUGGAAUCACGAGAUCAGAAGAUAUCCAAGCUUCGACUACAAAUUUUGGGCUGAAACAGUGGACCUGGAAGGGCCUCUCACUACCGCCAACUUUCCCUCUUGCUGCUGUGUUAUUGCUUGUGCCGUGAGGUUGAAGACAACCUCAUAAAUUAGGUUUUACAUCCUUACUUAAUCAAAUUCCAGAUUUACCUCUUAUCUUCUCAUUUAACUUAUUUUACUUCUUAGUUCCAAUUCUACCCCUCCCUCAUCACAUAUUAUUCCUUGUUUGCCAUUUACUAGCUUGGUGACUUAUAAUUACAAUUCUGCCACUCUUUAUUAGAAACACCAAAUUAAUUC